rnacentral:lncRNA from 1 species
AAAAAUGUAGUUUUGAAGGUUUAUAGAUGAUUAUAAUAAAGACAAAGGUGAAAGCACUCUGUCCAUGGUUAGAAUAGACAAACUGGGAGAGGCUAUAUAUAAACCCCUAGCAACUGUGUUUAACACUGCUAUUUACAUUAGUUUUUUUCCUUAACUCUGAUAUCCUUCAGUUAGUAAGUUAUAGUUUUCCUGAAUUGCAGUAUCUCCAUUGUAAUGUAUUGAGACCUGUACCUUUUACUUGAUGACCAUUUUUCUAGAAAGAAUGGUUCAUUUGUUCUAAGGAAACUUAGAGAUUGAUUUGAGGAAAGUGCAGACAUCAGUUGACCAUUUUUCUAGAAAGAAUGGUUCAUUUGUUCUAAGGAAACUUAGAGAUUGAUUUGAGGAAAGUGCAGACAUCAGUUAAGAUGACUAAGCUGAUCUUUAGACACAUUGGUAAUGUGAAUGAAAGUGUGUGAUAGAUUAACUGGAAUUCUGAAGGGUAUUAAGUCAAAAUAAAGGAAUCUGGAUCUUAUUAUCAUACUUUAAUUCAUAGUCUGCCGUGUCAAGCUGCUUUUAUAUCAUGAAAUCAAAAUGGUUCUUCAAAAAAAAAAAAAAAAAAAGAUUUGUGUACGUGCACAGGCCAGAAACAGGAGGGUAUCUCUCUUGUUGAGUACAGAUAUGUUGGUAUCCAGCUUGAUAAUGAGAUUUUAUGAGUUGGUUAGUCUGUUUUGUUUCGUUUCAAAAGAAAAAAGAUUUAUCAAGCUUCUGGUGAUGGUGGUUUCAAGGCAUGGCAUCUGUCAUCUACUUGGCCAUGGUAAAAACCUUGUAGAUAAUGUCACAGUGGUGAGAGCCUGGACUAGAGGACCACAAUUACAUGGUGAGACAAGGAACCUGGGAGGAAGUAGGAACCAGUCUUGGCCUUUUAUAACCAUCAUCUUGUGAGAACUCAGGUUCUAGUAGAACCUUUAUUCUUCCUGGGAUUACAACCCAGAUUACAACCACUUCCCAGUAGGCUGUUCUCUUUUUGUCCCUGGGUAUUGAAUUGAUGGCCUUGUGUUCUAUAGUGAAGCCACUACUGACUGACUCACUUCUCCAACCUCUGCACUUUUAAUAUUAAUGUAAGUUCUUUUAUUUUGUGACUUGGGGUCUUUCUGCCACAGCUUAUUGAAUAUCUGGAAUUACAGGUUUGGGUAUACAGGCCCACCUGUGGUCCCCACUUCUUAAAGAUAUGAUUAUCUAUUGAUGUAGACAUGUGGGAGCCAAGCUCUGUAUAGUAUUUUUGAACAGUACUGAAGUAAUGCCAAAAAUACCUUUUCAUCAGCUUUUCUAAGUUGUACUCUUGCAGAUUGUACCUGUUGGAAGUGUCUUGACUAUCUGUCUACAGUUCUGUGGAAUGGCAUUUAUGUGUGUGUACCUUUUCCAUUUUGUACCAAAGUGUCUGCAGAGGUCCGGGGGAUAUGGUUCAGUCGUAGAGCAUUGCCUCAAGGAUUCCAAGUCAGGGGUUUGAUUUUUAGCAUUGGAAAAAACACUGCUAUCCACAUGCCCCAACUGAUCAAACAAACAAAUAGAUGCAGAGAAUUCCACAGACAUAUAGCCCAGUAGUCCUCAUCUCUGAUUUCACUUUGUGAAUUUCAUUACUUUAUGUUAAAAGAGGCUAAGUGGAAAGAUUCCAGGAAUAGCUCAUUAGCUUUAAAUUAUAUGUUGAUCUGAUUAGGGUGAUAAAUUAUCCCUUUCCCAAUGUAUCCAUGCUGUCUGUGUUGUACCUCCCAUUUUGUCUCUUUGUUAGGAGAAAAACUAGUGACUUCAAAUGAGCUUAUAUUUAAAUGAGCAUUAAAGUAAUGAGAUUGGCAAAGCUUUAAAAUUACUUCCCUUGAUUGAAACAUGAAAAUUUAUCAUAAGUGUAUUUGUAUAUGGAAGAAAAUCAGUUUAUUUCGGGUUUAUUUACUGUCCUUUCAAGAGUCCACUGUUAUCUGGGCAUAUACCUCCUGGUUGAUGGAGGAGAAUCCGUGACCUUUAUUUCACUUAAUAAUGACCCCAAAGUGCAAAAGUAGUUUAUCUAAGCUUUAUCAUAGGUGUGUGGUAUAGGCAAAGAGUAUGUAUGGAGUUUAAUACUAUUUCAAUUGCAGGUGUCCUCUGGCAAUAGU